rnacentral:rRNA from 1 species
GACAGAGGGUGCAAACGUUUGUUCGGAAUUACUGGGCGUAAAGCGUGUGUAGGCGGCUUUGUAAGUCGGAUGUGAAAGCCCCGGGCUCAACCCGGGAAGUGCACUCGAUACUGCGAAGCUUGAGUACUGGAGAGGUUGGUGGAAUUCUCGGUGUAGAGGUGAAAUUCGUAGAUAUCGAGAGGAACACCGGUGGCGAAGGCGGCCAACUGGACAGAUACUGACGCUGAGACACGAAAGCGUGGGGGAGCAAACAGG